CAGCAGCCGCGGUAAUACGGGGGGGGCAAGCGUUGUUCGGAAUUACUGGGCGUAAAGGGCUCGUAGGUGGCCAACUAAGUCGGACGUGAAAUCCCUCAGCUUAACUGGGGAACUGCGUCCGAUACUGGAUGGCUUGAGUUUGGGAGAGGGAUGCGGAAUUCCAGGUGUAGCGGUGAAAUGCGUAGAUAUCUGGAGGAACACCGGUGGCGAAGGCGGCAUCCUGGACCAACACUGACACUGAGGAGCGAAAGCCAGGGGAGCAAACGGGAUUAGAUACCCCGGUAGUCCUGGCCCUAAACGAUGAAUGCUUGGUGUGGCGGGUAUCGAUCCCUGCCGUGCCGAAGCUAACGCAUUAAGCAUUCCGCCUGGGGAGUACGGUCGCAAGACUGAAACUCAAAGGAAUUGACGG
rnacentral:rRNA from 1 species